rnacentral:rRNA from 1 species
AAACUCAAAGGAAUUGACGGGACCGCACAAGCGGUGGAUGAUGUGGUUUAAUUCGAUGCAACGCGAAAAACCUUACCCACCUUUGACAUGGCAGGAAUCCUAAAGAGAUUUGGGAGUGCUCGAAAGAGAACCUGCACACAGGUGCUGCAUGGCUGUCGUCAGCUCGUGUCGUGAGAUGUUGGGUUAAGUCCCGCAACGAGCGCAACCCUUGCCAUUAGUUGCUACGAAAGGGCACUCUAAUGGGACUGCCGGUGACAAACCGGAGGAAGGUGGGGAUGACGUCAAGUCCUCAUGGCCCUUAUAGGUGGGGCUACACACGUCAUACAAUGGCCGGUACAGAGGGUAGCCAACCCGCGAGGGGGAGCCAAUCCCACAAAGCCGGUCGUAGUCCGGAUCGCAGUCUGCAACUCGACUGCGUGAAGUCGGAAUCGCUAGUAAUCGCGGAUCAGCAUGUCGCGGUGAAUACGUUCCCGGGUCUU